rfam:Salmo salar isolate Sally breed double haploid chromosome ssa10, whole genome shotgun sequence.
UACCUGAGUGAUCCUGCCAGUUUUCUCUCAAAGAUUAAGCCAUGCAAGCCUUAGUACAGUGAAACUGCUUAUUAAAUGAGUUAUGGUUCCUUUGAUUGCUCCAACAUUACUUGGUUACUAGGAUGACUGCAGCAAUAGAGAUAAUACAUGCCAACAAGUGCUGAUCUUCGCGGAUGUAUGCAUUUAUUCACACCCAAAACCAAUGCAGGUUACUCUCAGGCACCACAGAUGUGUUUGGUAACUCUAUGACCUCAAUUGGUGACGUGUUGACGUCUAUUUUGAAUGUCUGCGGUUUCAACUUUGGAUGGUACUGAUGGUAGCUUCUUACUUUCUAUUUUUAUUUAUUGUGUUUUUGUUCUACCUUAAGUUACAUUGAUAUUUAUUACUGCAUUGUUGGGUUUGGAGCUAGUAAGAAAGCCAUUUCACUGUACUUGUGCACGUGACAUUAAAUCUUGAAAAUGUGGUACUUUCUGUGCAUAUCAUGGUGACCACGGAUAACAGGGAAUCAGGGCUAGAUUCCAGGGAGGGAGCCUAAGAAAUGGCUACCACAUUCAAGGAAGGCACCAGGCAGGCAAAUUACCCACUCCCGACGGCUAGGUAGUGACGAAAAGUUACAAUACAGGACUCUUAUGAGGAAUAAGGUCUCAUUGGAAUGAGUCCACUUUUAAUCCUUUAACGAGGAUCCAUUACGGCUGUUUAGAAGAUACAUUUUACAGCGGUCAGAAACGUCUGAAAAUGUCAUUA